rnacentral:rRNA from 1 species
GAUGAACGCUGACAGAAUGCUUAACACAUGCAAGUCUUUGGCGAAGCUGUGCUUGCACAGCCUAGCCAAGGCGGACGGGUGAGUAACGCGUAAGGAACUUGCCCUGCAGUCAGGGAUAACAGACGGAAACGACUGAUAAGACCUGGUAAAGUCAGGCGGACUCAUGUCCAGCCUGAUGAAAAGAGAUGCUGCAGGAGAGCCUUGCGUCCUAUUAGCUUGUUGGUGGGGUAACGGCCCACCAAGGCGAUGAUAGGUAGCCGGCCUGAGAGGGUGGACGGCCACAAGGGGACUGAGACACGGCCCUUACUCCUACGGGAGGCAGCAGUGGGGAAUAUUGGACAAUGGGGGCAACCCUGAUCCAGCAAUUCUGUGUGCACGAUGAAGGUUUUCGGAGUGUAAAGCGCUUUCAGCAGGGAAGAAAAAAAUGACGGUACCUGCAGAAGAAGCGACGGCUAAAUACGUG